CCCUUAGAUGUUCUGGGCUGCACGCGUGCUACAAUGGCGUUUCUAGCAAGUCUGCGAACCCGAGAGGGCCAGCGGAUCUUCGAAUUGGCGUCGUGAUCGGGACAGUCGAUUGCAAUUAUUUGACUCAAACGAGGAAUUCCUUGUAAUCGCGAUUCAUCAUAUCGCGCUGAAUACGUCCCUGCCCUUUGUACACACCGCCCGUCGCUCCUACCGAUUGAGCGAUCCGGUAAAUGUUUUGGAUUGGUGCCGGGGCGGCUAGCUGCCGGUCGCUACGAAAUUUUGUGAACCUUAUCGCUUAGAGGAAGGAAAAGUCGUAACA
rnacentral:rRNA from 1 species